rnacentral:tRNA from 1 species
GCCUAGGUGGCUCAGUCGGUUGAGCAUCUGACUUCAGCUCAGGUCAUGAUCUCGUGGUUUGUGAGUUUGAGCCCCACGUCAGGCU